rnacentral:lncRNA from 1 species
GCCGCUGCCGGCGUCGCCGCACCAGCUCGGACGCACUGCCCCGCGGGGCCGCGGCUCCAGGUGGGAGGAAGGCGGGCGAAGGAAUGUGCGGCCAGCUCCCUCCCCUUGACCCCAGAUAGCUCCCCUGGGCCAAACGCCGAGAGGUUUUAGAGUUUCUGGACGGGGAAGAUUGCAAAAGUCUCCGCAACCUUCUCAACCUCUUUCGUCUUCUAGGGAAACCACAAAACUUUCGAGAGGAAAGGGGUGGCGGGCGGGGAGCUCUCCUCCGGAGAAAAAACCUCAACAAGCGGAGAGGGCACAAAGGCUCCCCACGCCGCGCCCCGAGCCCCUCCGGCACCCCAAGGGCGGUCCGGGGUGGUGGGAAAGCGCCAAGCCCUGGGAGUGCGUCGGUGGGUCCGGGACGGCGGGGCCUCCGCCAGGGCUCCUGGCCCUCGAUGACCUCGGCUGAGACCGCGAGCCGCGCGGCGGAAAGCGGAGGAACUCCCGUCCGGCCCUGUAGCCGCCCGCACCGCGCCCCGUCACCCGCCGCCCCUUCGCGUCCGGGCGCUCCAGCCGCGGGGCCCCGGAAGCUCCUGGUCCCUGGCCUCCCCUGCUUGGUUCGGGGCGGUUGGCCGUGGACGCGCCCCGACUCUAGUCCCUUCCGUCCAGCCGCCCGCCCCAGGAUGUCCCCCCACCGCAGCCCCGCCGUGGCCAGGAGGUGUGGGCGGCCACGCCGGAGGGACCCACGGCGGCGCCGGACGCCCGCCCUUCCUAGGCCCUGGCCCGGCCGGGGUGGGCCGGGACGUUCCCUGUUGCAUAGGCAUUUAUUUAUUCAGCAGCUACUACGUACGUGCUGGCCCGCACUGCCGAGGGACCGGACGCCUGCCCCAGGCGGGACAAUGCCGGGUGCAGCGCUGGCGGGGCCUGGACGCCAAGCUUCAGGGUCCCCAGCCCCUCAGUCAGAGGGGGCGCCUCCCAGGCCCUGGACUCCUCUCCAGCCGGGUCUACACCACCGUCCCCCGUCAUCUUCUUCUGGGUUACUGAGCAGCUUCUUUUAAAAUAGCAACACCGAGGAAGGCCCCGAAGCCCAGUCUUGCACCUCGUGGUGUGAAGUCGUUUAAUCCUGCCCGCUAAUGCGUAAGGACUUUCCACCGUGUGCAGGACUCCGCGCUGGGCAGGGGCUCUCGCAGGGUUUGAACCGACCUCCGCCUCCCCUGCGGGUUCACAGGCCUGCGAGGAAGUCGCGUGAAGGAGAUUCGCUACUGUGUGAGGCUGGCCUGCGCGGCGUGGGCAGUAGCUGUCCGGGGCUGGGGACAGCUUUCGGCUCCCCAGGCCAUCCCGUCGGGGCAUCUGCGGCCAAUCUCGAAGGUGGAGAGGCUCAGGGUUGGAACAGACUUCACGGAAGGGGUCCUAGAAGAGGAAAGGGGUCGUGUUUGCCCUUAGAGCAGUCUGGGCGUGAAGCGGAAACUUUAAACCACCAGAAACUCUGGAGAGCUUGGAGCACCUGGGAAGGAGCAACCAGAGUGGGCCGGAGGUAGGGAAGGAAGGCACCCACGGCGAAUUUGCCCGCUUUGACCGCAUUUAGGGCGGCCGCUUGUGCAGCCAGCCUUCUGGAAGGUAGGCUUUGCGCUUGGUGAAGAGAAGCCCCCACCUCCGGAUCUGUGUUCCGCCCCAGUCCAUUCAUCAGGAGGUGAUCACACAAGUCAAGCUUCUCUAGUUCCCGGUGGAAUGAGACGCCCUGGUGGGGUCUUAAGGUUGAACGUUUGAAUACUGUAAAAAAGAUGGGACCUGCCUACAAUUAAUCUCUCACACUACUGAGCGAAUGUGCGUUGUUUUGGACUUCCCUAAAUUGGCCCAAAUGCAUAGCCAACACUUGAAUUGCGGUGUACUAACAACAUCAUUCAGCACCAAACCAAACCAUUCUUAUUUAAACCUUGCUUCCUAGCUUAUUUAUUUCCCAAACAACUUGAAAACAUUUGUUAUACUAAAAUGUCUACAUCUUACUAUUAAAAAAAAAAAACCAAAGUAACACACUUUGCUGCUGCCGUAAUUUUAUGUCACUGAGAUGAACUAUUCUACAAUACUUGUAAUUUCAAAUUUGUUAAACUUUCAGCUAAGUAGUUUUACCCAAAUUCUAAAACCAGUGAGGAAUCCAAAAUAGCACGCAGCAUUAAAUGACGUUUAUUGUUCCAUAAAUCUUCAGACUUCAAAAAGAAACGCUAAAUAGACAAACAGAACUCUAAAGCAAUUAAGAGACAAGCUCGCUGCUUCUUCCCCACUGACUGGCAAGGAAACAUUUGGUCAUACAAAAGCCAUUAAAAUGACGGAAAGGAGAGUUGCCACUCUCUAGCCUUUUUUGUUCUGAUCAAGUUUGAACUCUGCUGUUCGGAGUUCACACAAUUUACGUAGUAACAGACCUUCAGAGAAUUCCUAACGGUCAAGACAAUGAAAUUGCAUUUAUAUCUGUAAAAGGAAAAGAAACAUGAAGAUUAUCCCCAUUUUAGAGGUGGACACAUUUAGAUUUGAUUUGAGCUCCAGAUGAUCCUUGGCAAAGAAAGAUGAUGCAAUCCGGUGUACAGGACGCCAUAUUGCCCUAGCCUGGAACCGUGUUCUAGCCGCUGAAGAGCCUAUUCUGUGGCUUUCAAAAUGUUCUUUUCUCCUAGCUUUACGUUUUCUCUCCAGCGCUAAAUCCGUGGGGAUAAGCCACCAUAAACAAAGCUCCCACUGUCAAUGUCCUAAUCUUGAGUGGCAGGAAAAUUGGUAAUAUCAAAAAUGGGAGUAGACAGUGAAAAUUAUUUUAAAAGAUAAUUCUAUUAUGUACAAAUUUAAAAGAUAUCAGGUGGGCCGGGCGUGGUGGUUCACGCCUGUAAUCUCAGCACUUUGGGAGGCUGAGGUGGGCGGAUCACCUGAGGUCAGGGGUUCGAGACCAGCCCGGCCAACAUGGCAAAACCCCGUCUGUGCUAAAAAAUACAAAAAUUAGUCAGGUGUGGUGGCAGGCAGCUGUAAUCCCAGCUACUCGGGAGGCUGAGGCAGGAGAAUCGCUUGAACCUGGGAGGCGGAGGUUGCAGUGGGCCGAGAUCCUGCCACUGCACUCCAGCCUGGGCAACAGAGCAAUACUCCAUCUAAAAAAAAUAAAAUAAAAAUAAAAUAUAUCAAGCACACCUAUAGUCCCAGCUGCUCAGGAGGCUGAGGCAAGAAGAUCACUUGAGGCUAGGAGUUCAAGGCACUAUAACCGUGCCUUUGAAUAGCCACUGCAUUCCAGCCUGGGCAACAUAAGGAGACCCUACCUCUUAAAAAAAAUGUUUAUAUGUAAACACACACACACACACACACACACACACACACACCCCUUUAAUCCAGCAAUCCCAGUACAAUUAUUUUCCUGUGACAUUAAAGUUGCUCAAGAUAUACAAGGAUAUUCACUGAAGCAUGUUUGAUAAUAACAAAGCCAGAAAAACCACCAGUAGCCAUCGGUAAGGGACUAAUUAAAUAAAUUAUGAAUUAUCCAUAGUUAGCAAGCAUUUUAAAAGCAUUAGAUAAACAUAUAUGUGCUGGUAAGGAGAGAUCUCCAGUAUAUGUUAAGUGAAAAAAAGCAAGGUGCAAAAAGACACUUGGCUGGCUAAGUUCAGUGGCGUUACAAUCUAGUCAGUUCUGGAGAUGGGGCCAAUCAUAAAAUGUAAAGAACACAGCCUCCUGUACACUUCCUUCCUGUCAAAGGAAGAACACAGAUAGUAAAGGAAGGAAAUUCUUAUAGAGGAUUAGUGCUGUCAGGGAGAUCCAUCAGAGAAGUAUCAUGAGGUAAAUAAUCAUUAAAGAAAAAGGAUGGGGAGAGAUGAGCAUAGACAUGAGUUUAAAAUGGACAGGCGUGGCGGGGCAUGUUUGAGGAAAGAAACGGGUGUGCAAAGUUCAAAGAUGAAGCUAGCACGAAAGAGCCCAAGACUGGCUGGAGGCAUCCAGUUAGGAGGCUGUUGUGAUAGUACAGGUAUGAGACAGAUAAGGUCUGGAUCAGAAAUAAGGCAAUGAAGGAUGAAAAGAAAUGGUUUGGCAAGAAUUUGCAACUGAUUAGAUUAAGAAGAGAGAGGCAAAUAAGCUAGAAGGAGGAAUCUGAGGUGAAUCCAAGAUUUUAGACUGUCAAAGGGCUGGAAAAAAUGAGGAAGUCCAAAGGGGGAUCUGAGAUGCAGUUGACUUUAGAAAUUAGAGAUACCCAGCAGAAAGUUAAAGGUCAGGACUAAAGCUCGAAGCAAAGGUCAGGACUGCAAAUAUAUGGCUGAAUGUCUAUCAUCUAAAAGUCUGUAGAGAACUGAGUAUGCAGGAGUGAACCUUGGGAGGGAAACAUCAGUGCAAGUCAAAUAGAAUUAAGUAAGCCAUCUAUAAUCCUAUUUUUGGCCUUCCACAAUUUGAUAUAAUUUUAUUUCUUUGUACAAUGUGGUCUACAUUUUCAGUUAUGUGUGUAAGAAUUAGUUGUUAGUGUAUGAACCGUCUUCACUAUGCUAGUGAGUCAGCUCUGUGUAGGACAAGAUGAACUGGUUUUCAAUAUUUUAAUAUCCCUUGUUUCUUCAAGGAGAUCAGGGAUUAUACACUUUUCAAAUUCUAAAUAAAAGAAUGUGCUUUGUUUCUUAAUCAAACUAGUGGCAUUUUUUUUCUUGGCAACUGAACUGGUUAAAACAAAUAUCUCUAAUUAUUGUGAUUAGGUAACCCCAAGCCGCAAUUCUAAAUUUUAUUGUCUAGACAGUCCUUAAGAAGAAAGGCAUGUGAUCUUUAAAAAUUCCCACUGCUGGCCAAGCGUGGUGGCUCACUCCUGUAAUCCCAGCACUUCAGGAGGCUGAGGCGGGUAGAUCAUUUGAGGUCAGGAAUUCGAGACUAGCCUGGCCAACAUAGUGAAACCCCAUCUCUACUAAAAAUACAAAAAUUAGCCAGGUGUGGUGGCGCAUGCCUGUAAUCCCAGCUAUUCGAGAGGCUGAGGCAGGAGAAUUGCUUGAGCCUGGGAGGUGGAUGUUGCAGUGAGCCAAGAUUGCACCACUGCACUCCGGUCUGGGCAACACAGCGAGACCCUGUCUCAAAAAAAAAAAAAAAAGAACAAAAAAGAAAAAAAGAAAAAAAAAUUCCCACAGCUGGGUCAAACCAGAAUCCUCAAUUACCAUAACCACUUCCCUUGCAGUUAAUGAUUACACCAACACCUUAGGCAAAAAGUCAUUCCCAUUUAAUAAUAAGGAACAUCAAACAGAUUCUGUUUUACCUUAUUUACUGCAGGUAGGAGACCGACAUUGGGCAAAUUUUGUGGUUGCUAGAAAAAAAAAAAAAGAAGUGAACAUUUAAAGUAUCUGUCUCAUUAGCAAAAAGAAGCAGAAGCUCAAAUACCACGUUUUUAUACAUAUGAGGGUCUCAGAGGGCACCUCUUGUAUUCUCUGUAGGGUAGGGCUUUAGGGUGAAUAAUUCAUGUACUUUUUUUCUUUUAUUUUUUUUAAUUAUAUAAAAAAUAGAGAUGGGGAUCUCACUAUGUUGCCCAGGCUGGUCUCGAACUUCUUGCCUCAAGCAAUCCUCCUGUCUCAGCCUCCCAAAGUGCUGGGAUAACAGCAUGAGCCACCGCAUCCGGCUUACAUUAUUUCUUAUGUAAUGAAAUAAUAUGAGAUUCUGUUUUCCUUUGACCAUCUUUAAUUUGCAUCCUUUUUUUCUGUUCCAACUUUAUAGUCUGGAAAAUACCUUCUUUAAAAGACAGGAUUGGGCCGGGCAUGGUGUCUCAUGCCUGUAAUCCCAGCACUUUGGAAGGCCAAGGUGGGAGGAUCACUUGAGCUCACGAGUUCAAGUCCAGCCUGGGCAAGAGGGUGAAACCUCAUGUUUACUAAAAAUACAAAAAUUAGCCAGGCGUGGUGGCAGGCUCAUGUAGUCCCAGCUACUCCAGAGGCUGAGGCAGGAGAAUGGUGUGAACCCAGGAGGCAGAGCUUGCAGUGAGCCGAGAUCGUGCACUGCACUCCAGCCUGGGCAACAGAGCGAGAUUCCGUCUCAAAAAUAAAUAAAUAAAUAAAAUAAAAUAAAAAAUAAGUAAGAAAUCUGACCUAUGUAUUUCUUGAGACACAUCCCAGAGAGUUAGACUCUUUUUCAUUUGAAAAAUGUGAAAAUUGUUGAAACUUUGAAACAAUAAUAAAAUGAGUACCUAUGUAUCUGUGUUCCAGAUUCACCAGGAGAGAUUGCCAUUUCACCACAUUGCUUUUAUUUCUCUCUAUGGAGAUGUAGGUUUUUUUGCUCAACAAUUUGAAAAU